rnacentral:rRNA from 1 species
GACGAACGCUGGCGGCGUGCUUAACACAUGCAAGUCGAACGGAAAGGCCCUGCUUUUGCGGGGUGCUCGAGUGGCGAACGGGUGAGUAACACGUGAGUAUCCCGCCCUUGACUUUGGGAUAUCUUCAGGAAACUGGGGCUAAUACCGGAUAGGAGCUCCUGCUGCAUGGUGGGGGUUGGAAAGUUUCGGCGGUUGUGGAUGGAUGGGCGGCUUACGAGCUUGUUGGUGGGGUAGGGGCUUACCAAGGCUUUGACGGAUAGGCGGCCUGGGAGGUGGGACGGCGACAAUAGGACUACGGGACGGCGCAGACUGCUACGGGAGGCAACGGGGGGAAAUAUUACACAGUGGGCGGGAGCCUGAUGCGACAGCGCCGCGUGCGGGAAGACGGCCUUCGGGGUGUGAACCGCUUUCGCCUGUGACGAAGCGUGAGUGACGGUAAUGGGUAAAGAAGCACCGGCUAACUACGUG